UAUAGGGCAGUGGCGCAGAAG
rnacentral:misc_RNA from 1 species